rnacentral:rRNA from 1 species
UGUGAAGAUGCAGUGUACCCGCGGCAAGACGGAAAGACCCCGUGAACCUUUACUAUAGCUUGACACUGAACAUUGAGCCUUGAUGUGUAGGAUAGGUGGGAGGCUUUGAAGUGUGGACGCCAGUCUGCAUGGAGCCGACCUUGAAAUACCACCCUUUAAUGUUUGAUGUUCUAACGUGGACCCGUGAUCCGGGUUGCGGACAGUGUCUGGUGGGUAGUUUGACUGGGGCGGUCUCCUCCUAAAGAGUAACGGAGGAGCACGAAGGUUGGCUAAUCCUGGUCGGACAUCAGGAGGUUAGUGCAAUGGCAUAAGCCAGCUUGACUGCGAGCGUGACGGCGCGAGCAGGUGCGAAAGCAGGUCAUAGUGAUCCGGUGGUUCUGAAUGGAAGGGCCAUCGCUCAACGGAUAAAAGGUACUCCGGGGAUAACAGGCUGAUACCGCCCAAGAGUUCAUAUCGACGGCGGUGUUUGGCACCUCGAUGUCGGCUCAUCACAUCCUGGGGCUGAAGUAGGUCCCAAGGGUAUGGCUGUUCGCCAUUUAAAGUGGUACGCGAGCUGGGUUUAGAACGUCGUGAGACAGUUCGGUCCCUAUCUGCCGUGGGCGCUGGAGAACUGAGGGGGGCUGCUCCUAGUACGAGAGGACCGGAGUGGACGCAUCACUGGUGUUCGGGUUGUCAUGCCAAUGGCACUGCCCGGUAGCUAAAUGCGGAAGAGAUAAGUGCUGAAAGCAUCUAAGCACGAAACUUGCCCCGA